AUUGAACGCUGGCGGCAUGCCUUACACAUGCAAGUCGAACGGCAGCACGGAGCUUGCUCUGGUGGCGAGUGGCGAACGGGUGAGUAAUAUAUCGGAACGUACCCUGGAGUGGGGGAUAACGUAGCGAAAGUUACGCUAAUACCGCAUACGAUCUCAGGAUGAAAGCAGGGGACCUUCGGGCCUUGUGCUCCUGGAGCGGCCGAUAUCUGAUUAGCUAGUUGGUGGGGUAAAGGCCUACCAAGGCAUCGAUCAGUAGCUGGUCUGAGAGGACGACCAGCCACACUGGAACUGAGACACGGUCCAGACUCCUACGGGAGGCAGCAGUGGGGAAUUUUGGACAAUGGGGGCAACCCUGAUCCAGCAAUGCCGCGUGAGUGAAGAAGGCCUUCGGGUUGUAAAGCUCUUUUGUCAGGGAAGAAACGGUGGAGGCUAAUAUCCUUUGCUAAUGACGGUACCUGAAGAAUAAGCACCGGCUAACUACGUGCCAGCCGCCGCAGUAAGAC
rnacentral:rRNA from 1 species